rnacentral:rRNA from 1 species
UACAGAGGUCUCAAGCGUUGUUCGGAUUCAUUGGGCGUAAAGGGCGCGUAGGCUGCGGGGCAAGUCGGUCGUGAAAUCCCUCGGCUCAACUGAGGAGCGUCGAUCGAAACUGCCGUUCUUGAGGGUUGCAGAGGAGACUGGAAUUCCCGGUGUAGCGGUGAAAUGUGUAGAGAUCGGGAGGAACACCGGUGGCGAAGGCGGGUCUCUGGGCAACUCCUGACGCUGAGGCGCGAAAGCGUGGGGAGCGAACAGG